rnacentral:misc_RNA from 1 species
UACAGAGGCCCCAAGCGUUACCCGGAAUCACUGGGCGUAAAGCGUGUCUAGGUGGUUUAGUUAGUCUCCUGUUAAAACCUUGGGCUCAACCCAAGGGGUGCGGGGGAAACGGCUAGACUUGAGAAUGCGAGAGGAGAGUGGAACUCAUGGUGUAGGGGUGAAAUCCGUUGAUAUCAUGGGGAACACCAAAGGCGAAGGCAACUCUCUGGCGCAUUUCUGACACUCACACACGAAAGCGUGGGUAGCGAAUGGG